rnacentral:rRNA from 1 species
UACGGAGGAUCCAAGCGUUAUCCGGAAUCAUUGGGUUUAAAGGGUCCGUAGGUGGAUAAUUAAGUCAGAGGUGAAAUCCUGCAGCUUAACUGUAGAAUUGCCUUUGAUACUGGUUGUCUUGAGUUAUUAUGAAGUGGUUAGAAUAUGUAGUGUAGCGGUGAAAUGCAUAGAUAUUACAUAGAAUACCAAUUGCGAAGGCAGAUCACUAAUAAUAUACUGACACUGAUGGACGAAAGCGUGGGGAGCGAACAGGAUUAGAUACCCGUGUAGUCC